UACGUAGGGACCAAGCGUUGUCCGGAAUCAUUGGGCGUAAAGAGCGUGUAGGCGGCUUGUUAAGUCUUGCGUGAAAUCUCGGGGCUCAACCCCGAGCGGUCGUGAGAAACUGGCAGGCUAGAGUGCGGGAGAGGAGACGUGGAAUUCCUGGUGUAGCGGUGAAAUGCGCAGAUAUCAGGAGAACACCCGGUGGCGAAGGCGGGCUCUGGUCGGCAUGAACUACUGAGGAGCGAAAGCGUGGGGAGCGAACAGG
rnacentral:rRNA from 1 species